UACGUAGGGUGCAAGCGUUAAUCGGAAUUACUGGGCGUAAAGCGUGCGCAGGCGGUUUUGUAAGUCUGACGUGAAAUCCCCGGGCUCAACCUGGGAACUGCAUUUGUGACUGCAUCGCUGGAGUGCGGCAGAGGGGGAUGGAAUUCCGCGUGUAGCAGUGAAAUGCGUAGAUAUGCGGAGGAACACCGAUGGCGAAGGCAAGCCCCUGGGCCUGCACUGACGCUCAUGCACGAAAGCGUGGGGAGCAAACAGG
rnacentral:rRNA from 1 species